GACGAACGCUGGCGGCGUGCUUAACACAUGCAGGUCGAACGGAAAGGCCCUGCUUUUGUGGGGUGCUCGAGUGGCGAACGGGUGAGUAACACGUGAGUAACCUGCCCUUGACUUUGGGAUAACUUCAGGAAACUGGGGCUAAUACCGGAUAGGAGCUCCUGCUGCAUGGUGGGGGUUGGAAAGUUUCGGCGGUUGGGGAUGGACUCGCGGCUUAUCAGCUUGUUGGUGGGGUGGUGGCUUACCAAGGCUUUGACGGGUAGCCGGCCUGAGAGGGUGACCGGCCACAUGGGGACAGAGAUACGGCCCAGACUCGUACGGGAGGCAGCAGUGGGGAAUAUGGCACAAGGGGCGGAAGCAAGAUGCAGCAACGCCGCGUGCGGGAUGACGGCCUUCGGGUUGUAAACCGCUUUCGCCUGUGACGAAGCGUGAGUGACGGGAAUGGGGAAAGAAGCACCGGCGAACUACGG
rnacentral:rRNA from 1 species